UGGGGAAUAUUGCACAAUGGGCGCAAGCCUGAUGCAGCCAUGCCGCGUGUAUGAAGAAGGCCUUCGGGUUGUAAAGUACUUUCAGCGGGGAGGAAGGGAGUAAAGUUAAUACCUUUGCUCAUUGACGUUACCCGCAGAAGAAGCACCGGCUAACUCCGUGCCAGCAGCCGCGGUAAUACGGAGGGUGCAAGCGUUAAUCGGAAUUACUGGGCGUAAAGCGCACGCAGGCGGUUUGUUAAGUCAGAUGUGAAAUCCCCGGGCUCAACCUGGGAACUGAAUCUGAUACUGGAAAGCUUGAGUGUCGUAGAGGGGGGUAGAAUUCCAGGUGUAGCGGUGAAAUGCGUAGAGAUCUGGAGGAAUACCGGUGGCGAAGGCGGCCCCUGGACGAAGACUGACGCUCAGGUGCGAAAGCGUGGGGAGCAAACAGG
rnacentral:rRNA from 1 species